CCUACGGGAGGCAGCAGUGGGGGAUAUUGCGCAAUGGGGGCAACCCUGACGCAGCAACGCCGCGUGAAGGAAUGAGGCCCUACGGGUCGUGAACCUCUUUUGCCCGGGGACAAGGGCGCGGUCGGGAACCGCGCUUGAGGGUACCGGGAGAAUAAGCGUCGGCUAACUCCGUGCCAGCAGCCGCGGUAAU
rnacentral:rRNA from 1 species